rnacentral:misc_RNA from 1 species
AACAAGGCGUACCUGCGGACCUGCGGAAGGAUCAUUAACGAGCGUAACCUACCCUUUUAAAAAAUGGGUGGUACCUCCCGUCCUUUGCGGGCCCCCUUCUUUUAUUAAGGGGGGGGCUUUUAAGACUUUCUGCUUCGGCGGGGUUAUUCCCGCCGGAACACCUUCAAAAAACUCUUGAUCAAAAAACUGUUCAGUCCGAGAAUUUUUGAAAAUUAAAACAAAACUUUUAACAAUGGAUCU